rnacentral:rRNA from 1 species
CCUACGGGCGGCAGCAGUGGGGAAUAUUGCACAAUGGGCGCAAGCCUGAUGCAGCCAUGCCGCGUGUGUGAAGAAGGCCUUCGGGUUGUAAAGCACUUUCAGCGGGGAGGAAGGCGUUAAGGUUAAUAACCUUGGCGAUUGACGUUACCCGCAGAAGAAGCACCGGCUAAUUCCGUGCCAGCAGCCGCGGUAAUACGGAGGGUGCAAGCGUUAAUCGGAAUUACUGGGCGUAAAGCGCACGCAGGCGGUCUGUCAAGUCGGAUGUGAAAUCCCCGGGCUCAACCUGGGAACUGCAUUCGAAACUGGCAGGCUAGAGUCUUGUAGAGGGGGGUAGAAUUCCAGGUGUAGCGGUGAAAUGCGUAGAGAUCUGGAGGAAUACCGGUGGCGAAGGCGGCCCCCUGGACAAAGACUGACGCUCAGGUGCGAAAGCGUGGGGAGCAAACAGGAUUAGAUACCCGAGUAGUC